rnacentral:rRNA from 1 species
UCGAGGAUCUUCGGCAAUGGGCGCAAGCCUGACCGAGCGACGCCGCGUGUGCGAUGAAGGCCUUCGGGUUGUAAAGCACUGUCGAGGGGGAGGAAGCCGCAAGGUUGACCUAUCCCUGGAGGAAGCACGGGCUAAGUUCGUGCCAGCAGCCGCGGUAAGACGAACCGUGCGAACGUUGUUCGGAAUCACUGGGCUUAAAGGGUGCGUAGGCGGGUUCCCAAGUCCGGGGUGAAAUCUUUCGGCUUAACCGGAAAAUAGCCUCGGAUACUGGGAGUCUUGAGGGAGGUAGGGGCAGCUGGAACUUCCGGUGGAGCGGUGAAAUGCGUUGAUAUCGGAAGGAACGCCGGUGGCGAAAGCGAGCUGCUGGACCUCUUCUGACGCUGAGGCACGAAAGCCAGGGGAGCAAACGG